GGAUAAUUAGCUCAAUGGUAGAGCAUCUUCUUUACAUGUAGGUGGUUAGUGGUUCAAUUCCACUAUUAUCUU
rnacentral:tRNA from 1 species